rnacentral:rRNA from 1 species
AGUGAACGCUGGCGGUAGGCCUAACACAUGCAAGUCGAACGGCAGCACAGUAAUAGCUUGCUCUUACGGGUGGCGAGUGGCGGACGGGUGAGGAAUAUAUCGGAAUCUACUUUUUCGUGGGGGUUAAGGAAGGGAAACUUACGCCAAUACCGCAUACGACGUACGGUUGAAGGCAGUGGAUCUUCGGACCUUGUGCGAUUGAAUUAGCCGAUGUUGGUUUAGCUGGUUGGCGGGGUAAAGGCCCACCCAGGCGACGAUCCGUAGCCGGUCGGAGUGAAUGAUAGGCCACACUGGAACUGAGACACGGUCCAGACUCCUACGGGAGGCAGCAGUGGGGAAUAUUGGACAAUGGGGGCAAGCCUGAUACAGCGAUACCGCGUGGGUGACAGAGGCGUUCGGGUUGUAAAGCCCUUUUGUUGGGAAAGAAAAGCAGCAGGUUAAUACCAAGCUGUUGUGACGGUACCGAAAGAAUAAGCACCGGCUAACUUCGUG